GGGCUUUAACGGUUGUUGCUGCAUGAAGUCUGCUGCAAUUUCUCUGAGAUUUCUCAAGAUCAUCAGUUUGGACAGAAUUCAUUUGAAGAAUUAAUAGCACUAGCAGGUUUCAUUAAAGGCUGGAACAGAACAGACAGAAAAGGUACAGUAUACUUUCUUUCCAUGUCCGCCUUGCCCACGCACACAUCCGUACCGCUUUAAAAAGUAUAUAUUAUUUACAGGACAUUCACAAAUUUAGAAAAGAUGAAGAAAAGUAGCGGCUCCACCACUGCAUUGAAUAUACUGUUCUGUAUGAGUGUGCAACUCGGCGUUCCCACAACGCACACGCUUGACAUCUGUUCCUCAGACAUGAGGGCUCGCGAAGCACGCACACAACGCGCAGUCAACACAUGCGUGAUCACUAAACUAAGUUUUCUUUCUUGUUUAAGUGAACAUAAACAGCUAGAUGUGUCAGUAUCAGUAUAUUAAAGCAGUGCAGUCUUAAAGCUGUUUUGGGUCUUAAAGUGACAGUAGCCUGCUGCUUUCUGUGUCAGAAAUGUUCUUUCCACCCAAAAAUGAAAAUCACUCACUAUUCUUAACUGAACAACUUUUGCAGCUGCACAUUUAAUUCAUACAGUGAGGACUGUGUGUUUUGUGUGUAUUUAUUGCUAAUGUUAAAUCAUAGAUUCUAAUAACUAAUAUUUUUACAUUUAAUACAGAUGCCUGAAAAGUAAAACAAGAUGAGUAUAGUCUUAUGAUAAAAAAACAAAAGAUUUGGUUGCUUGUCAGUAGCAUUGUUGUAGUGACAGCCAAAAUACAUCGGCCUAGGGCUGGGCAAUAUGGCAAAAAUGUGAUCUCAGAAAAAAAUCCAUAUUGAACGAUAACGAUAUAUAUUUCGAUGCAAGUUGUUAAUGCUUCCAGCUUUAAAACAGUAUGCCAACAAUGACUGAAGCCACAAAAAUAAGAGGGUUCAUUUAUAUUUUAAUCUGCGCCUCGUCAGUUUUUUAGCUAGCCAAACCACUUCCAUAUAAAGGAAUUCGUGCUACCUUUUUGUCCACAAUUUAUCAUCUUUGGAUAUUCGUUGCCACUUCCACUCAUUUUUGUUUAGUUUUUUUGUUGUUGUGUCGAGUUUGCAAAGUAGGAAAUGGACUUUGUACUACUCAUGUGUAUUACAUA